rnacentral:rRNA from 1 species
GUGUCAGCCGCCGCGGUAAUACGGAGGGUGCAAGCGUUAUCCGGAUUUAUUGGGUUUAAAGGGUCCGUAGGCGGACCAAUAAGUCAGUGGUGAAAGCCCAUCGCUUAACGAUGGAACUGCCAUUGAUACUGUUGGUCUUGAGUGAGGUUGCAGUGGCUGGAAUGUGUAGUGUAGCGGUGAAAUGCUUAGAUAUUACGCAGAACACCAAUUGCGAAGGCAGGUCACUAAGCCUCAACCGACGCUGAUGGACGAAAGCGUGGGGAGCGAACAGGAUUAGAAACCCCAGUAGUCC